GUGGGGAAUAUUGGACAAUGGGCGCAAGCCUGAUCCAGCCAUGCCGCGUGAGUGAUGAAGGCCUUAGGGUUGUAAAGCUCUUUCAGUAGGGAAGAUAAUGACGGUACCUACAGAAGAAGCCCCGGCUAACUUCGUGCCAGCAGCCGCGGUAAUACGAAGGGGGCUAGCGUUGUUCGGAUUUACUGGGCGUAAAGCGCACGUAGGCGGAUUGGUCAGUUAGAGGUGAAAUCCCGAAGCUCAACUUCGGAACUGCCUUUAAUACUGCCAGUCUCGAGUCCGGAAGAGGUGAGUGGAACUCCUAGUGUAGAGGUGGAAUUCGUAGAUAUUAGGAAGAACACCAGUGGCGAAGGCGGCUCACUGGUCUGGUACUGACGCUGAGGUGCGAAAGCGUGGGGAGCAAACAGGAUUAGAUACCCGGGUAGUCC
rnacentral:rRNA from 1 species